CUUUUUUUUUUUUUGCUUGGAAAAACUCUAUACUGCUAUAAUUAUCCUGGCAGAUGUGAUGAGGAUUUGGUUGCGUCAUUUCUUAAAAAAACAAACAGACCCAAUGUGUGAAACAAUAUGCAUAAUGAGAGAGCCCUGGAGGGAGGAAUCAUGAAAAUCCUGCCACAAACUUCUCUAGAGCUCAGUUUGUAAGGUGGUAUGGGUUUUCAUCUGCUGUACUGAGGGAAAUUGUGACAGGGACUGCCAUGUCAGUCUUGGAUCUGGGCAGCCCAGUGACCCAACAAUUCUUGACUUGCUGUCCUGGCAGGGGCCACCAGUGCUGAUGGACCCACCUUCCUCUUCAUUCUCUGGAGUCCUAGCUUACUGAGCAGCGCUGGUAGAUAUCUUGGUAGGCACCAUUAUAAAUUGCCCACAAUGCUCUGGACUGAUGCUACAUGAGGGCACUGUGAGUAACGGCAAACAGCUCACAUCAACCACCACGGAUGAUGGAGCUACUGUGAUGGUGGCGCUGGUAAGCCUGCUGGGGACAGGGCAGUGGUGUCAGAAAAGGCCUGGGAGAGGGUCCUUACCAGAGAUAGUGGCAAUCUGGAUUUGUAUUUUAUUCCUCCUAAGAUACUUGCUUGGCAGCUAUAGACAUGUUCCUACUGCUCUGCAUACUUUUCUCCAUCUGUGUGAGGGAAAUAACCCAAAGCCACUUAUCAGUUGUAAGAUGAAGAUGGAGUAACUGCACAGGAUUGCAGCCACCAUGGCCUGUACAAUAGCAACUAUUAAAAAAAAAUUGCUAAAGUUUCUUUGUUUCCAUCUGCAAGGUUCCCAUCUCAGUUUUAUAAGAUUCAUUGCACUGGCAGGAAAUCUUGGAAAUAUUUAUUUUGUAAAAACAUUCUAGGAUGUUCCAGAACACCUGUCUCAAAGACUAUACAGUAGUACCUCGGGUUAAGAACUUAAUUCAUUCCGGAGGUCCAUUCUUAACCUGAAACCGUUCUUAACUUGAGGUACCACUUUAGCUAAUGGGGCCUCCCGCUGCUGCCGCCACGCAAUUUCUGUUCUCAUCCUGAAGCAAAGUUCUUAAUCCGAGGUACUAUUUCUGGGUUAGUGGAGUCUGUAACCUGAAGCAUCUGUAACCUGAAGAGUCUGUAACCCGAGCUACCACAGUAGAGUUAGGUAUUACCAUUUCCUAAUAUUUUUAUAUGCACAGUUAGAUGUUGUGCAGCAUGGCACAGUUGGACAAUGUGUAUUCUUAAUUUUUAAGAGAAGCAGGAAAAUCUUGAUGAUGAUGAUGAUAAAAAUUUGUAUUCCGCCCUAUAUCUGCAGGUCACAGGAGAGUUCACA